UCCGAGUUGUAAUUUGUAGAGGAUGUUUCGGGUACCGCCUCGGUUUAAAUUUCUUGGAACAGAAUGUCAGAGAGGGUGAGAAUCCCGUCUUGGACCGGUGGUAGGGCCUAUGUGAAACUCCUUCGACGAGUCGAGUUGUUUGGGAAUGCAGCUCAAAAUGGGUGGUAAAUUUCAUCUAAAGCUAAAUAUUGGCCAGAGACCGAUAGCGCACAAGUAGAGUGAUCGAAAGAUGAAAAGCACUUUGAAAAGAGAGUUAAACAGUAUGUGAAAUUGUUGAAAGGGAAGCGCUUGCAACCAGACUUGAGCGCGGCGGUUCCCCCUCGCUUCUGCUUGGGUUACUCCGCCGUGUCCAGGCCAACAUCGGUUCUAGGGGUCGGUCAAAGGCCCUGGGAAUGUAUCUACCUACGGGUAGACUUAUAGACCAGGGUGCCAUGCGACCUCCCGGGACCGAGGAACGCGCUUCGGCUCGGAUGUUGGCGUAAUGGUUGUCAGCGACCCGUCUUGAAACACGGACCAAGGAGUCUAACAUCUAUGCGAGUGUUUGGGUGUCAAACCCGGAACGCGGAAUGAAAGUGAACGGAGGUAGGAAGCUUCGGCUGCACUAUCGACCGAUCCUGAAGUUUACGGAUGGAUUUGAGUAAGAGCAUAGCUGUUGGGACCCGAAAGAUGGUGAACUAUGCCUGAAUAGGGUGAAGCCAGAGGAAACUCUGGUGGAGGCUCGCAGCGGUUCUGACGUGCAAAUCGAUCGUCAAAUUUAGGUAUAGGG
rnacentral:rRNA from 1 species